rnacentral:rRNA from 1 species
AGUGAACGCUGGCGGUAGGCCUAACACAUGCAAGUCGAACGGCAGCACAGGAGAGCUUGCUCUCUGGGUGGCGAGUGGCGGACGGGUGAGGAAUACAUCGGAAUCUACCCUGUCGUGGGGGAUAACGUAGGGAAACUUACGCUAAUACCGCAUACGACCGACGGGUGAAAGCAGGGGACCUUCGGGCCCUGCGCGAUUGAAUGAGCCGAUGUCGGAUUAGCUAGUUGGCGGGGUAAAGGCCCACCAAGGCGACGAUCCGUAGCUGGUCUGAGAGGAGGAUCAGCCACACUGGAACUGAGACACGGUCCAGACUCCUACGGGAGGCAGCAGUGGGGAAUAUUGGACAAUGGGCGCAAGCCUGAUCCAGCCAUACCGCGUGGGUGAAGAAGGCCUUCGGGUUGUAAAGCCCUUUUGUUGGGAAAGAAAUCCAGCUGGCUAAUACCCGGUUGGGAUGACGGUACCCAAAGAAUAAGCACCGGCUAACUUCGUGCCAGCCGCCGCGGUAA